rnacentral:SRP_RNA from 1 species
GCCAGGCACGGUGGCGCAAGCCUGUAAUCCCAGCUACUCGGGAGGCUGAGGUGGGAGGAAUGUUUGAGCCCAGGAGUUCUGGGCUGUAGUGCACUAUGCCGAUUGGCUGUCCGCACUAAGUUUGGUAUCAGUAUGGCGACCUCCCGGGAGUGGGGGACCACCAGGUUGCCAAAGGAGGGGUGAACCGGCCCAGGUCAGAAAUGGAGCAGGUCAAAACUCCCAUGCUGAUCAGUAGUGGGAUUGCGCCUGUGAAUAGCCACUGCACUCCAGUCUGGGCAACGUAGUGAGACCAUGUCUCAU